rnacentral:rRNA from 1 species
GUAGGCGGCAAGCGUUGUCCGGAUUUAUUGGGCGUAAAGCGAACGCAGGCGGGAGAAUAAGUCAGCUGUGAAAGCCCUCAGCUUAACCGGGGAACUGCAGCUGAAACUAUUUUUCUUGAGUGCAGAAGAGGAGAGUGGAACUCCAUGUGUAGCGGUGGAAUGCGUAGAUAUAUGGAAGAACACCAGUGGCGAAGGCUGCUCUCUGGUCUGUAACUGACGCUGAGGUUCGAAAGCAUGGGUAGCGAACAGGAUUAGAUACCCUGGUAGUCCAUGCCGUAAACGAUGAGUGCUAAGUGCUGGGAGGUUUCCGCCUCUCAGUGCUGCAGCUAACGCAUUAAGCACUCCGCCUGGGGAGUACGACCGCAAGGUUA